GAAACUUGGCUCCCUUCUGGUCCUCUGGCCACCUGUAGAGGCAGUGGAGCUCCUGAGGGACAGAGAUGUGUGUUGAAGCGCCUUGUAACAUUUGGCUCUCACCUAACAAGAUUCUCAGACGCCUCCAUCCGCCCUAUUUUGAUCUCCACAUCCGUCUUUGAUUCACUUACUGCAUUCUGCAGCCUGGAAGCCAAGUUUGGAGAGCGAAGAAGACUAAACUGGAC
rnacentral:lncRNA from 1 species